UUUGGUGGGACCUGAUGCUGCUGGUGUGCUGUAAAUAAGUGCCUAGCACAUCACGUAGGCACCAGGUGUCACCAGG
rnacentral:pre_miRNA from 14 species